rnacentral:rRNA from 1 species
GACGAACGCUGGCGGCGUGCUUAACACAUGCAAGUCGAGCGGUAAAGGCCCUUUCGGGGGUACGACGAGCGGCGAACGGGUGAGUAACACGUGGGUGACCUGCCCUUACGCUCUGGGAUAAGCCUGGGAAACUGGGUCUAAUACCGGAUAUGACUCCAUGACGCAUGUUGUGGGGUGGAAAGCCUUGUGCGGCUAGGGAUGGGCCCGCGGCCUAUCAGCUUGUUGGUGGGGUGAUGGCCUACCAAGGCGACCGACGGGUAGCCGGCCUGAGAGGGCGACCGGCCACACUGGGACUGAGACACGGCCCAGACUCCUACGGGAGGCAGCAGUGGGGAAUCUUGCGCAAUGGGCGAAAGCCUGACGCAGCGACGCCGCGUGGGGAUGACGGCCUCGGUUGUAA